ensembl:lncRNA
UAAAGGUCAGGGAGGGCGCUAGCAGCGGCUAACCGGCAGAGAGUCGGUGAACCGGGGAACUACCGGGGACACAGCGGGGAAGGAGCGAGGAGAGAUGGGGCAGAGAAAUAAGACAGGAAACACAAACACCACCGGUGUUAAACGUGUAGAAAAAGCAGAUUUAUUCCUGGAACUUUGCACCGCGGACAAAGCUAACUGUAGCUAACAGCUAACGUUAGCAUGGCGACCAUUUUAGAGCCGCCAGAGAGGAGACGGACCGGAGAGAAACCCGAGAUAGACCAGAGACAGAGGCGGGAGGAACGGACCGUGACACCGGGAAACUGACGGUAAAACCUCAGACGCUGUUUCGGAUGGACUGUGGGAGCACCAGCAGGUUGACCUAAUGAAGCUUCAGGACAGAGUGGAGGACAAACGGCUCCUACAUGAAGUGAUGGAACAGCAGGAGAUCCUGCAGAACAUCC